UACAGAGGUCUCAAGCGUUGUUCGGAUUCAUUGGGCGUAAAGGGUGCGUAGGUGGCGGGGUAAGUCAGGUGUGAAAUUUCGGAGCUUAACUCCGAAACUGCAUUUGAUACUGCCUUGCUUGAGGACUGGAGAGGAGACUGGAAUUCACGGUGUAGCAGUGAAAUGCGUAGAUAUCGUGAGGAAGACCAGUGGCGAAGGCGGGUCUCUGGACAGUUCCUGACGCUGAGGGCACGAAGGU
rnacentral:rRNA from 1 species